rnacentral:snRNA from 1 species
UCAGUCAUACGCAUUGCUUAUAAU